rnacentral:SRP_RNA from 2 species
CUUGUGGCCCCGGCAACAGCAGCCCGGGAAACCCGCCAGGCCCGGAAGGGAGCAACGGUAACGGAUGCUGCUGGGUGCCGGGGCCACCCUUUU